AUUAACUAAAUACAUGAUCGUAAGUUUGUUAUCUAUAUCAUAAUCACAAUAAAAAAUGAACUGUGAACGUGAACCAGUUCAUCUUCAUGUGUAUGAACUGGACUUUGAAUUGUUUGUUUUCAAGAGUGAACUGGUUCAACACGGUGGAGGAGCAUGAGAACAGGGAGGUGUCAGACUCCAUUUUCACCUGGAUGAGCAGAAGGAAGAAAAGUGAGCAGCAGUGGUCACCAACCUGUGGAGAGUCUUCACUGUGGAUCCCAGUAAAGCUCUGGACUCACUGGCUGAGGUGUGAGGAACAUCGACCUGCAGAGCCAGACUGAAGAUGAGUGGUUAUGAGGAGGAAGAGGAGGACAGAGCAGAGUCUCCAGUGUUCAGCUGUGUGUCUCUGAAGAGUGACCGGUCCAAGGAUCGUCCUCCAAACUUCAGUAAUGAACCUGGACCCUCACACACAGAAGAGAGGAAGAGGAGUCAUGUUUCUGAGGAGGAGCAGUCGUCCUGCUGUGCUUCGUGUCAG